GUUUAAACAAGAGGCCCCUUUCUCUGUUAACCAAUUGGUGAAUGUAUACUGUAUGUUUAAACUGUGACGUAUUUUUGCUUUAAGAAGGAGCCCCCACUCCGGGGAAUAAAGGAUUCCUGAGUUUUUCACUGAUCAGAAACUUUGUCUCCGGUGUGAAUUACUUCUAGGGAAAGCGUGCACGCAUUAAUCAAUCAAUUUGGAAGGUGUAGAUAGACAAAUUAUCAAAGUUUUCUUUGAUCCAAAUCAGUUGGCGCACUUCCGAACAGGGACGAGAGGGUUGUUGUUAUUCUGCUCGAAGCCGUAAAAUCCCAGGACCGGAGAGGAGACCCCCAGAGAUUGAAAAAAAAAAAAGAGCCUGAUCACCUCUGCAUAUGGUAAAUGAGUAACUUACCUAUAUUUUCCAUUCUUUGGAAUUGGUCUGCACUCUGGGCCUUCACUCGGCUUCCUGUGGUUAACGUCAGACAGGUAUAUAGUAUGCCCACAUGUCCCCUUUUAUAUAGAACCUGUCACUUGUCUAUCUACAGCCUGAGUCCUGAGUGUGAGUUUUAUGUGUGAAAGUGUCUGUUUGAGAAUCUGUUUUACUUUCUUGUGAUUAUUUAAUUCAGGGUGCAAAUAUACCUGGAGUUUUUAGGCCAGAUUAUAUUAAUUAAUAUUUUAAUAUUAAUUCUUGGCGUUUCCUUUGUUGUUUUUCAUUUAAAUUCAGGUGUGCAGAAUAGCCCCUGGUGGUUAGUUUUUGUCCGAUUAAGAAUAGAUCGUGGCGUUUCCUUUGUUGUUUUUCAUUUAAAUUCAGGUGUGCAGAAUAGCCCCUGGUGGUUAGUUUUUGUCCGAUUAAGAAUAGAUCGUGGCGUUUCCUUUGUUGUUUUUCCUUUAAAACAGGCGUGCAGAAUAGCCCCUGGAGGUUUAGUUUUUUGUCCGAUUCAUAUUAAAAAUAGAUCGUGGCGAUUCUUUUGUUGUUUUAAUAAAAAACAACGAACAAAGAGUGAAGUUGUUGUAUAUGUGCUUGAGUGUUUCUGUGUGUGAUUUGAUUUAUUAUAAGCCGGCAUUUAUUUUAAGAACUUUGUGAUUUAAUUACAUCUGUAUUUUGUGCUUUUGUCUGUGUAUGUCUUGUUAGGUACCAUAUAUGUUAAUUGUAAUCUAUACAAUUUGUAUCGUUACUCUCCUAUUCUAUCUUUUGUCCUAAGGAGAGCUGUGCUUAGGCAAUCACAUGGUUAAAAAACUUUGUGCUUGCAAGUCUUCCUCCCUCCUCCCCCCUCCUUCUUUGUUGCUUUCUCUUGCUCUGACUGCUAUGAGUAUUGGCUACAGGGGGGGUGAAUGGGUGAAAUGCUUGUAAACUCAGUGAGGAAUGUGAGGGAAACAAGGUAUAUUUGCUGGACGAAUAACCUAGUUAGGAACUUUGUGUAAUCUUGUAUAUGUUGUUAAGUAAGAGGUUAUUGGCAUGUUGGAAUAAGGAAAGUUAGAUUUUGUUGGAACAAAUGAAUUGUGGAAUUUAUAAAUGAUAUUGCAGAGAAAAGUAAAUUGCAGUUUGCAUAUAAUAGCAGCU